AGGCGUGUAUUAUACAACGAACGAAACGUUCGUAUAUAUAGAAAGAAAAUCACUGUGCAAAUAGUGCAGCGGGCCCCACGUCUUUAUAUUUUCAACAAUUGCGGUGGCUGUGUUAUUUGACUUUCAUAACAGAAACAUAAAUUUUGACAAAUGUUAGUUGUCCGUUCAUGUCCCGUACAAAACAUAAAGAGUACAUAUAUAUCUCCUUGUUUGAUUCUCAACUUUUUUUUUUUUUAUAACCAUAUAGUGUGAUCCAAAAGCUUUCUAGGUCCAAAGACUAAUCACUACGAGACCCGCAUGAUCCUCUCAACUUUUUCUUAUCAAGUAUUCUUUAAAAAAACAUUUUUAUUAGGUGUUUAAUACAUAUAAACCAACCAGUUUUGCUGACAAAAAAAAAACAACCAACUAGUUUUAGUUAACAUCCAAUCCGAACUAAAUCUUAUACUAUCUUGGACACCUAAACAUAUCUCGAACUAACAUAGUAAAAAUUGAAUAAACACUCAGUUAUUUUCUAAGUUAUAAAAAUACUUGAUUGAUAUCCCUAGUUCAAACCGAAAUCAGUAAUAUCAAAUUAUAUAUCUUAUACUAUAAAGAUGUGAUUCUCUCAUUCCUCCUUCUGCCACGUCAUUAAAUAGAGGGAGGAGGAGUCGACACGUGUCCUUCCCACUUUGAGUUUUAUUACUGUCGUAUUGGGAUUGUUGUUAAUGGGUCUCUACGAGGGUUUCCUUGGGCUGCAACGGGUCAUUCAUUUGUGGCCUACGGGACGCAUUAUUUGUCGUGACCUGAAAAAGUAAAAGGUCGUCUUCUUCGGGGUUCAUCCUUUACUUCAAUAUCCAAUUAGGUCAAACUGCAAAUCGAGUCAGACGAAUCGUCCUCAAGAACCUUGGUAUCCAAGCAGCCGUCGUUUCAUAUUCGGUCCUUAACCCCAUACGUUACAAGUUGUUUUCAUUCAUCGGCUUUAAGAGAUGUUAACUCCACUGACACGAAUCAAGCACGGCGUCUCAUUCAAUGAUAAUACCCAUCCAACUCCAAGGCGGUUUUCUUUAUCUUCAAUAUCCAAUUAGGUCAAACUGGAAAUCAAGUCAGACGAAUCGUCCUCAAGAACCUUGGUAUCCAAGCAGCCGUCGUUUCAUAUUCGGUCCUUAACCCCAUACGUUACAAGUUGUUUUCAUUCAUCGGCUUUAAGAGAUGUUAAAUCCACCGACACGAAUCAAGCACGGCGUCUCAUUCAAUGAUAAUACCAAUCCAACUCCAAGGCGGUUUUGUUUAUCUAUAAAAUGGUUAGCCUUCUACCCUUCACAUUGUUUGGUUCUCCAGAAAACAAAGGAAAAUCCCAAUCACAAAGGCUUACUCAUCUGUUCUUCUUGGUGAUUUGAAGGUGGAUAUCUAAAACAUUUGUUGGGUUUCAGUGUCUCAGUUGAUCUUUGGAGCUCGGAUGUGUUUACUCUAAGAUUCUAACCAGAAGACUACUUCUUAAAGGGAGAACCUAGAUUGAACAACCACCAAAUGAAGAAUUAUGGGAAAAGAACCAGCUUCAUUGUCAAACUAAGAUGUUUAGACCACAACAUCAGUAUGAAGGUUGUCUGAGUUAAAGAUUUCAGGAGUUUCCGAAUAAAGUGGUUGAUCUUCGGGGGAUUUAUCAUAUAAUCCAGACAAAUGCGGAGCUGCCUCCUUUGCUCUCAUGUGAGAGGGGAAGAGUUGGUAUGAAGAAAAGUGAUAACUUGGAUCCAAGAACGGGGAAAUCACGUACAACAAUCAAAGAGCCUAAACUCCUAAGAGUCACCAGCCCAACAGCAUAAAAGGAGCCGAGACAGAAAUCAUUCUUCUAUAGUUGUUAAAAAAAGAGACAGAUUUCAUUCUUCCAACGCCACCGGAGACAUCUCAGUGACAACUCGAAGCGAGGAAAGAAAAUGAUGCAGCUUCAAGUCUUACUUAUAUAAUCAGCCUACUGGAUCUGCGAGCUCUGUCAGACAAACUGAACUUGCUCUGGCCGCAAGUUGAUUUAGAUUUCGAAGACUAUUAAAAAUAGAAAGAGUUGAAAAUGGGAGAAAAAUAACUACCAUUAGUUUUUAGCCAUUCAUACACUUCUCACCAUAUGUAAAUUGCAAACUUGUCCCAGUUGUGUGUUAUGUUCUAAUGUGAAGUUUAAUUUGUGAUA